UGUCAUUGUAAUCAAUCUUUUUAUUUAUAUAAACACAUGUAUUGGUCUGAAAUGAAAUAAAGUGAAAUGAAAUAUUAUCACAUCAACUUCGAUCCAAUUCAACUUCGAUUAUACAUAUGGAUCUUUACCCCCGUCUAUAUCGGACUAUACCAAUAUAAAGCCCCCAUAUAAACCGAUCUCCCGAAUUGAUCGAUCUUGAGUCUCUAGAGGGCGCAGUUUUUAUAUGAUUUGGCUGGAAUUUUUCAAACGGAUUUCUUUUAUGACCUCCAACAUUUUCGUUAAAUAUAGUCUAAAUCGAUCCAUUACCGUUUAUAGCCCCCAUAUAAACCGGAUGAAAAUUUGCCUCAUUUCUCCUGCACAAUUAUUAUUUGAUUUGAUUGAAAUUUUGCAUAAUGAUUUCUUCUAUAAACUGCAACAUCCAUGCCAAGUAUGGUCUGAAUCCGUGCCUAUUGCUCCUAUAUA